rnacentral:rRNA from 1 species
AUUGAACGCUGGCGGCAGGCUUAACACAUGCAAGUCGAGCGAGCGGCGGACGGGUGAGGAAGGUCUGGGAAACUGCCUGAGGGAGGGGGAUAACUACUGGAAACGGUAGCUAAUACCGCAUACCAUCAGAUGUGCCCAGAUGGGAUUAGCUAGUAGGUGGGGUAAGGGCUCACCGAGGCGCCGAUCCCUAGCUGGUCUGAGAGGAUGACCGGCCACACGGGAACUGGGACACGGUCCAGACUCCUACGGGAGGCAGCAGUGGGGAAUAUUGCCCAAUGGGCGCAAGCCUGAUGCAGCCAUGCCGCGUGUGUGAAGCAGGCCUUCGGGUUGUAAAGCACUUUCAGCGAGGAGGCGUUACUCGCAGAAGAAGCACCGGCUAACUCCGUGCCAGCCGCCGCGGUAAUUC